UACGGGGGGAGCAAGCGUUGUUCGGAUUUACUGGGCGUAAAGGGCGCGUAGGCGGCGUAACAAGUCACUUGUGAAAUCUCCGGGCUUAACCCGGAGCGGCCAAGUGAUACUGUUGUGCUAGAGUGCGGAAGGGGCUACUGGAAUUCUCGGUGUAGCGGUGAAAUGCGUAGGAUAUCGAGAGGAACACCUGCGGCGAAGGCGGGUAGCUGGGCCGACACUGACGCUGAGGCGCGAAGCCAGGGGAGCGAACGGGA
rnacentral:rRNA from 1 species